rnacentral:rRNA from 1 species
GAUGAACGCUGGCGGCGUGCCUAAUACAUGCAAGUCGAGCGAACAGACGAGGAGCUUGCUCCUCUGGCGUUAGCGGCGGACGGGUGAGUAGCACGUGGAUAACCUACCUAUAAGACUGGGAUAACUUCGGGAAACCGGAGCUAAUACCGGAUAAUAUAUUGAACCGCAUGGUUCAAUAGUGAAAGACGGUUUUGCUGUCACUUAUAGAUGGAUCCGCGCCGCAUUAGCUAGUUGGUAAGGUAACGGCUUACCAAGGCAACGAUGCGUAGCCGACCUGAGAGGGUGAUCGGCCACACUGGAACUGAGACACGGUCCAGACUCCUACGGGAGGCAGCAGUAGGGAAUCUUCCGCAAUGGGCGAAAGCCUGACGGAGCAACGCCGCGUGAGUGAUGAAGGUCUUCGGAUCGUAAAACUCUGUUAUUAGGGAAGAACAAAUGUGUAAGUAACUAUGCACGUCUUGACGGUACCUAAUCAGAAAGCCACGGCUAACUACGUG